AUGAGGUCAUGUAUCAUAUUGCAUAAUAUGAUUGUUUUGGAUGAACGAGAUACAUAUUCUCAACAUUGGACAAAUUAUGAUCAAUCUGAGGCAAGUGGGUCUGGUACACCAGAUCCAUUCUCGAUCGAGGUGUUACCUGCAUUUGCAAAUCAUGUGCGUGCUAGAUCUGUGAUGCGUGAUUCAAAUGUACAUCACGAAUUGCAAGCAGAUCUAGUCAAACAUAUAUGGGUAAAGUUUGAAAUGUUUCGUGAUUAA